UACGUAGGGUGCAAGCGUUGUCCGGAAUUAUUGGGCGUAAAGAGCUCGUAGGCGGUCUGUCGCGUCGGAUGUGAAAAUCCAGGGCUCAACCCUGGACCUGCAUUCGAUACGGGCAGACUAGAGUUCGGUAGGGGAGUCUGGAAUUCCUGGUGUAGCGGUGAAAUGCGCAGAUAUCAGGAGGAACACCGGUGGCGAAGGCGGGUCUCUGGGCCGAUACUGACGCUGAGGAGCGAAAGCGUGGGGAGCGAACAGG
rnacentral:rRNA from 1 species